GCCCGAACAUCUUCCAUCUGUCAACAGAAGGAGAGGACCUCCGAGACCAGGAGUCUGUCAGCAGAGUUUUGGCCGAGCUGUUAGACAACCAGGAGGGCCUGUUCGACUCGGAGGAAGAUGACGUCUCCACCACCAACGACUACAGCUCCAUCAACGAACAGAUCACAGAGCUGUUGGACGAUGAGAAGUGUGAAGCUGAAUGUGAAGAGCUGCCUCAGGACGGAGAGGACGGUCCUGCCUCCUCUGACUCACCACAACACACACUCACUGACGACAGCUCCACAGACAGGUGCGUCUCUGGCUUUUAUUCU